UAUACGCAAAACCGCUGCUCUCGAUGUCGCGGGCUCCUGACCGGGAGUUCGCUAUGAAGAAACGUGGACGCACACCGAUUCGCAGCGUGUGAAACGCGUGCGAAUUUUGUGUCAGAACUGUGUCAGAUACCCCCCGAAAACCCGGUCAAACACCGUCGUUUACGGGGACAUGUCGGU
rnacentral:misc_RNA from 1 species